CUGACGGAUUACCAUUUAAUUAAUUAUGUAGUCUAGUGUUAGCUUCUAUAUUUACAAUUUCUUACAAUUUCUAUGAAUGGCAAUGAAAUAUGCUAAAUUUUUUCUUUUACUAAAUUUUUGUAAUUUUGUUUGCA